AGAGUUUGAUCAUGGCUCAGAUUGAACGCUGGCGGCAGGCCUAACACAUGCAAGUCGAGCGGUAGCACAGAGAGCUUGCUCUCAGGUGACGAGCGGCGGACGGGUGAGUAAUGUCUGGGAAACUGCCUGAUGGAGGGGGAUAACUACUGGAAACGGUAGCUAAUACCGCAUAACGUCGCAAGACCAAAGUGGGGGACCUUCGGGCCUCAUGCCAUCAGAUGUGCCCAGAUGGGAUUAGCUAGUAGGUGGGGUAAUGGCUCACCUAGGCGACGAUCCCUAGCUGGUCUGAGAGGAUGACCAGCCACACUGGAACUGAGACACGGUCCAGACUCCUACGGGAGGCAGCAGUGGGGAAUAUUGCACAAUGGGCGCAAGCCUGAUGCAGCCAUGCCGCGUGUAUGAAGAAGGCCUUCGGGUUGUAAAGUACUUUCAGCGAGGAGGAAGGCGUUAAGGUUAAUAACCUUAGCGAUUGACGUUACUCGCAGAAGAAGCACCGGCUAACUCCGUGCCAGCAGCCGCGGUAAUACGGAGGGUGCAAGCGUUAAUCGGAAUUACUGGGCGUAAAGCGCACGCAGGCGGUCUGUCAAGUCGGAUGUGAAAUCCCCGGGCUCAACCUGGGAACUGCAUUCGAAACUGGCAGGCUAGAGUCUUGUAGAGGGGGGUAGAAUUCCAGGUGUAGCGGUGAAAUGCGUAGAGAUCUGGAGGAAUACCGGUGGCGAAGGCGGCCCCCUGGACAAAGACUGACGCUCAGGUGCGAAAGCGUGGGGAGCAAACAGGAUUAGAUACCCUGGUAGUCCACGCCGUAAACGAUGUCGACUUGGAGGUUGUGCCCUUGAGGCGUGGCUUCCGGAGCUAACGCGUUAAGUCGACCGCCUGGGGAGUACGGCCGCAAGGUUAAAACUCAAAUGAAUUGACGGGGGCCCGCACAAGCGGUGGAGCAUGUGGUUUAAUUCGAUGCAACGCGAAGAACCUUACCUACUCUUGACAUCCAGAGAACUUAGCAGAGAUGCUUUGGUGCCUUCGGGAACUCUGAGACAGGUGCUGCAUGGCUGUCGUCAGCUCGUGUUGUGAAAUGUUGGGUUAAGUCCCGCAACGAGCGCAACCCUUAUCCUUUGUUGCCAGCGGUUAGGCCGGGAACUCAAAGGAGACUGCCAGUGAUAAACUGGAGGAAGGUGGGGAUGACGUCAAGUCAUCAUGGCCCUUACGAGUAGGGCUACACACGUGCUACAAUGGCAUAUACAAAGAGAAGCGACCUCGCGAGAGCAAGCGGACCUCAUAAAGUAUGUCGUAGUCCGGAUUGGAGUCUGCAACUCGACUCCAUGAAGUCGGAAUCGCUAGUAAUCGUAGAUCAGAAUGCUACGGUGAAUACGUUCCCGGGCCUUGUACACACCGCCCGUCACACCAUGGGAGUGGGUUGCAAAAGAAGUAGGUAGCUUAACCUUCGGGAGGGCGCUUACCACUUUGUGAUUCAUGACUGGGGUGAAGUCGUAACAAGGUAACCGUAGGGGAACCUGCGGUUGGAUCACCU
rnacentral:rRNA from 1 species